CAACCCUCAAGCCCCCGGGCUUGGUGUUGGGGCUCGGCCCGCCCUUAGCGGCGCGCCGUCCCCGAAAUCUAGUGGCGGUCUCGCGAUAGCCUCCUCUGCGUAGUAGCAAUAUCUCGCACUGGAAACUUCGCAAGCCCACGCCGUUAAACCCCCCACUUCUGAAAGG
rnacentral:misc_RNA from 1 species